UACGUAGGGUGCAAGCGUUAAUCGGAAUACUGGGCGUAAAGCGUGCGCAGGCGGUGAUGUAAGACAGUUGUGAAAUCCCCGGGCUCAACCUGGGAACUGCAUCUGUGACUGCAUUGCUGGAGUGCGGCAGAGGGGGAUGGAAUUCCGCGUGUAGCAGUGAAAUGCGUAGAUAUGCGGAGGAACACCGAUGGCGAAGGCAAUCCCCUGGGCCUGCACUGACGCUCAUGCAC
rnacentral:rRNA from 1 species